GCCAGGCAUGGUGGCACAUGCUUGUAAUCCCAGCAACUUGGGAGGCUGAGGCAGGAGGAUCUCAAGUUCAAAGCCAGCCUCAGCAACAGUGAGGUGCCAAGCAACUCAGUAAGACCCUGUCUCUA
rnacentral:sRNA from 1 species